rnacentral:rRNA from 1 species
GACGAACGCUGGCGGCGUGCUUAACACAUGCAAGUCGAACGGUAAGGCUCCAGCUUGCUGGGGUACACGAGUGGCGAACGGGUGAGUAACACGUGGGUGACCUGCCCUGCACUUCGGGAUAAGCCUGGGAAACUGGGUCUAAUACCGGAUAGGACCAUGGUGUGGAUACUGUGGUGGAAAGUUUUUUCGGUGUGGGAUGGGCCCGCGGCCUAUCAGCUUGUGGGUGGGGUAAUGGCCUACCAAGGCGGCGACGGGGAGCCGGCCUGAGAGGGUGGACGGCUCCAUGGGCACGGAGCCAGGGCCCAGACUCGAGGGGGGGACGGCAGGGGGAAAGUUGGAACAGUGGGAGGAAGCCGGUGGCGGCGGCCCCGGGGGGGGAGAGCCGUCUUUGGGGUGAUAAACAAUUUAACCCAGGGACGAGGGUUUUGUGACGGUAGAUGAAAAAAAAGCACCGGCUAACUACGUG